AUGCUGGGAAUACCAACUAACACUUGUUACAGAGUGUGCAUGGCGGCUGCUGACAGGCCUUCCCAGUGCCAGCAAGUGGAUACAGAAGCAAUCUCCCAAGCUUUCCAUGACAUUCAAGUGACCAGGCACUUGGACACCCAUCACUGGGGCUGUGUUCCUACCUUAGCCAGUGCCCACAAGCAGCAGCGGUUCCUCUGGCGUUUUGACCCUGAGAGAAGAUGGAAAACCCUAGGUGCUGGGGAUCAUGGAGAUGCUGGCCCCUUCCAACAGCAGCCUCGCUCUUCUUCCUUUUACCACCAAACCUGGAUGCCUCUCUUCUUCCACACUCUCUGCCCUGUCCUCUUAUCCAUUCUCCUCCUCCUCUCUCUCCCUCCAUUCCCCUUCCCUUUCAGAGGUUACCAAUAACUUGCAAUGUUAAUUUCGGUGGUUUUUCACCAUUCAUUAUCUGGUGUUUUGCCCAGGUAAUGAAUCUCUUUUGCUUAUCUUCUCUCUCCUCCAAUUCCUUAGCCCUUAUCUUUCCUUCAUCAAAUCCUUCUCCUCCCCCCUGUGGGUACUGAAUAAUUGUCUGCUCUCGGCUCUGCUCUCUCCUCUCCUUCACACAUUCUCACACAACGGAGUGACCUUUGAUUGGUUUUGUGACCACCCAGCGUCUAUUCCCUGUCUUUUGAUUGCCAAAUCUGUUUGCUUUGGAGGAAUCACCUUUCCUGCUUUAUGUGUCACCUUGUCGGGAAUGGAUGACAAGAUGUCUUUACUUCUUCUAGCCAAGGGGUGGGUGUAUGACCAAGUUCACUGGAUCCCCUCCCAGGACUUUGCAUAGUAGAGGGAAUGGAGAAAGUAGUUGGAGCUGACUCAUCCCUGCUUGAUGAGAUUGUUUGUGAAUUCUUCCCACAUGGGUCUCUAGAACUGCCUUAGUUCCUGCCUGUUCUGAGUAGAAGUCCGUUGGGCUUUUUUCUACCCAGAUUUGGUUUCUGUUGCUUGCAGCUAAGAACCCGUAGCAGGUACAUCCUAGAUGCACAUAACUUUGCCUAGUUCUGGAUGAUUUCCAAGCCAGUAUCUACAGAUGGCCUUGACCCUGUCCAGGGUCCUAUUCACAUAUCUCCAAAUGGCUGGCAGAUACUUCUAUUUAAUAUCCCACCAUCAUCUCCCACCUGACAGUCCUAAAGCCAAGUUAUUUUCUCUCUCCCAAAGCAGUUCUUCCUCUUAUACUCCAUAAGGGUUUUAGAAGAAUGAAUGCCAUCUCGGUCACUGAAACCAGGAAGAUGGGAAUGUGUUCUGACAACCCCUUCUCCCUUUAUUUAUCCUAUAUCCAGCAUUGCCUGGAUAUAGGAUGCUACUAAUAUUUUCUUCCUCAAGUCCUUCUUAUUCAUUAACCCCCCCUUAUUUUGUAUUUAGUUCAGACCCUUAU
rnacentral:lncRNA from 1 species